rnacentral:ribozyme from 1 species
AGCCCAGCUACUCCUAUCCCUACCUCCGCGUGUUACCGGCAGGACUGCGAGCAACCUUAGGGAAGAUUGAAUAGCCAACCCCGGUGGGAACUUUGUUCAUAGGCUGACACGGAAGG